rnacentral:lncRNA from 1 species
CUGGAAUAAAAGUUAGUUGCCCUUGCAGGCUCUGAGUCAGGCUGUCAAGCCCGUAGACCAGCUAUGGGCCAUGUCCUGCCCAGGCAUUCCAGGCAGGAGGAAGAGUUUGAGCAAACUCCAAAAGGGAAGAGGUGGCCAGGCCCUUUUGAAGAACUGCUGGCAGUUCAGUGAGACUGGAAUUUAUUCAUGUGGACAGAGUAUUAAUUCAACGGGUCUGUGAUGAACCAUACCUCAACUUUGUUGUGCAGGAAGCUUCUAGAUUUAUACAUACGAACAAUAAUAAAACCAUAGUUGAAAUUUGUC